UACGUAGGGUGCAAGCGUUGUCCGGAAUUAUUGGGCGUAAAGAGCUCGUAGGCGGUCUGUCGCGUCGGCUGUGAAAUCCCGAGGCUCAACCUCGGGUCUGCAGUCGAUACGGGCAAACUUGAGUGUUGCAGGGGAGACUGGAAUUCCUGGUGUAGCGGUGAAAUGCGCAGAUAUCAGGAGGAACACCGGUGGCGAAGGCGGGCCUCUGGGCAACAACUGACGCUGAGGAGCGAAAGCGUGGGGAGCGAACAGG
rnacentral:rRNA from 1 species